CGUAGGUGAACCAGCGGAGGGAUCAUUACCGAGUUUACAACUCCCAAACCCAAUGUGAACGUUACCAAACUGUUGCCUCGGCGGGGUCACGCCCCGGGUGCGUCGCAGCCCCGGAACCAGGCGCCCGCCGGAGGAACCAACCAAACUCUUUCUGUAGUCCCCUCGCGGACGUAUUUCUUACAGCUCUGAGCAAAAAUUCAAAAUGAAUCAAAACUUUCAACAACGGAUCUCUUGGUUCUGGCAUCGAUGAAGAACGCAGCGAAAUGCGAUAAGUAAUGUGAAUUGCAGAAUUCAGUGAAUCAUCGAAUCUUUGAACGCACAUUGCGCCCGCCAGUAUUCUGGCGGGCAUGCCUGUCCGAGCGUCAUUUCAACCCUCGAACCCCUCCGGGGGAUCGGCGUUGGGGAUCGGGACCCCUCACACGGGUGCCGGCCCCGAAAUACAGUGGCGGUCUCGCCGCAGCCUCUCCUGCGCAGUAGUUUGCACAACUCGCACCGGGAGCGCGGCGCGUCCACGUCCGUAAAACACCCAACUUUCUGAAAUGUUGACCUCGGAUCAGGUAGGAAUACCCGCUGAACUUAAGCAUAUCAAUAAGCGGAGGAAAAGAAACCAACAGGG
rnacentral:rRNA from 1 species